GGGGUUUGAAGUGGAGGAACUCUCAGAACUGCCGGGAGCAGAAGAGUCAGAAGAUAUUUUGAGUAGUUUCGAAGGGAGGAUCUAAAAGACCCUAAAAAGACAGACCGAAAGGGGAACGAGACGUCGGAAGCUAACUCAGAGGGAAGCACAAAAGUAAUGGAGAGAGGAGAAGCCCCUAGGCGGCGAGAGGAAGGUUGGCACUAACCUAUGUUGCUCUGAGGGACCUGGGGGACGAGAAACAGGAGGCGCCUACGGCUCGAGAAGACGCUCACUAAAGCAGGGCUCUCGAGG
rnacentral:lncRNA from 1 species